GGGGGUGUUCCGGAUUCGACUGCAAUGUGGAAAAUUCGGUCGCGUGUCGAGGAUGACGCUUGGCCUCGUAAAAAAUGCUUCAAACCAUUAAAUGGCGAAAAUAAUAUCGUUAGCUUUGAGCCUGAGCUCGAAGCGCUUGCAGCAUAAGUCUGCACGUCGACAGUCCACUGACACCUGCUGGGUGGUCGGGGCGUUAAAAAGCAGGUAAAACCUCGGAGCGUUUGCUUGUCUAUCGGAGGCUAAAUGGUUGAAGAUAAGCUCGGCUUAAAAGGUGUUCCUUCCUUCUUUAAGCUAAAAUUAAUAAGAGAACUACACACGUAGACGCCAAAUCGGAAAGAUUGCGGGACGCGGGUUCGAUUCCCGCCACCUCCACCA
rnacentral:tmRNA from 2 species